UGUAUCUGAGAAAAACAAGAGUUGGUAAACACCAAAUUCUUUUCCCUAUCUUGAAUUAUCACAUUUCAUGCUAAUAUAUUAAUACUUCUGAGAAUUACUAAAGAUUUCCGUUUUUAAAUGUAGAACAUUUUUCACUGAAAUUCCUAUUAGAAGAAUAAACUAUGAUGGAGAUAUCUUGGAAUGUUCACUGAUCUUAAUUUCAUUUAGAAUUUGCAAAGAAGAAUCUCAUAUAAGAAGUCUAAACAGCUCUUAACAUGAUAACAAGGUCCUGCCCACUUGAAGAGUUGCCAUGUCUGGGAUUGUCUGUUGAGAAAUCAUGAAAUGCCCCCAUCACCUGGAAGCUGGAAAACUGGUAUAAAAAGCUGGGAUACAGUGGAAUGAUCAUGAUCAUAGCUCACUGUAACCUUGAACUCCUUGGCUCAAGUGAUCCUCCACCUCAGGCACCUGAGUAGCUGGGACUACAGGCAUAUGCCACCGCCACAGUUGACGUUUUUGCUUCUGGCUUCAAGCAAUUCUACCACCUCGUCCUCCCAACGUGCUGGGAUUAUAGGUGAGCUGGGGUUGCAGAGCACUAACCUGAAAUCUGAGGAAAAACAGAUACCAGGUAGGAGGCAUAAGACACAAAUAUUUUUAUCUCUGAAGUAGAUGCUGGAUGUAUCUGGGCUGGUAGGAAGUCAGCUA
rnacentral:lncRNA from 1 species